rnacentral:rRNA from 1 species
AGUAAUGCCUAGGAAUCUGCCUGGUAGUGGGGGACAACGUUUCGAAAGGAACGCUAAUACCGCAUACGUCCUACGGGAGAAAGCAGGGACCUUCGGGCCUUGCGCUAUCAGAUGAGCCUAGGUCGGAUUAGCUAGUUGGUGAGGUAAUGGCUCACCAAGGCGACGAUCCGUAACUGGUCUGAGAGGAUGAUCAGUCACACUGGAACUGAGACACGGUCCAGACUCCUACGGGAGGCAGCAGUC